CGGAUACGGAGUCUGCAACCCGACUCCGUGAAGCUGGAUUCGCUAGUAAUCGCGCAUCAGCCAUGGCGCGGUGAAUACGUUCCCGGGCCUUGUACACACCGCCCGUCAAACCAUGAGAGUUGGCAACACCCGAAGUCGGUAGUCUAACCGCAAGGAGGACGCCGCCGAAGGUGGGGUUGAUGAUUAGGGUUAAGUCGUAACAAGGUAGC
rnacentral:rRNA from 1 species